CGGAGGGGGUGUCUUUGCUCCUGCGUUAGCGUCCCAGGUUUGGCUCAUCAAAGGUUAAAGGAACGGAACGCUGUAGGUUGGACCCCCUCCCAUUUCCGGGGGUGUCUAGUGUUGUUACAUGUCGGUGGCCGGCGCUUUUGUGUGGGCUGAAUUGUCCGCUUCCAGCACCCCGCUCCGCUGGCUCCUCGUCCCGAGCUAUGCCUUUUGUUUCCAAGUCCUCUGCAGACCCAAAGGGUGUUUUUUGUUUUGGGCUGGGAGGCCUCGUGGGUGGGUCCCCGGGACAAAGUAGGUGAAAGGUCAAGAACUACAUCCAGAAGAGUCGGCUUUAAUUUGUGAAUCGGGACACUUGGGCUCCCAGAGAGCUGAAAAAAGGACCAGAAGUGUGUUUAAGGACGAGUGAGAAUAUGUCCAAAAUGAAGUGAUAUAGUGGAAAGAUGGACCGGAUGAGCUCUGAGAGGAGAAAACGGAGGAGACAGUACUCUGCUAGGAUCAUUUUCUCCAAGGUCACCUGUGUCCUUGCAAUAAAUCUAAUGGCUCUGUCUCAGCUGUCAUUCUCUUUGCCCUCUCAACAGCCUUCGAAAUCGUGGACUGCCCCCUCUUCUUGCAUCUCUAAAAUUAUGCACUGCAUAUACCAAAAUAGUCAUAGCCCCAUUUUAUGUGGUAACAACUAGAAAUAAAGCUGGUGAAUGAAUCAACAAACGGAAAUGUGGAUACACUGGAUUUUUGUGCAAUAAGAAAUGAAUGAGAAAUUCAGGAAACCAUGGGAAGAUUUGUAUGAAUGGAUGCCAAAUAAAAAGCAGAAAUUAGAACAAUAUACACAGUGACUACAAUAAGGUAAAUGAAAAGGCUGUAUAGCUUAUUGCUUCCACUUUCUCACCUCCUACUCAACCCUUACAAACUAGAUUGAGUCCUAAAUAUGAGAUAAAACUGUUGUCUCCGUAAUCUUCAAUAAUCUCUUUAUUGCUAAAUCCAAUGGCCUUUUUUCAGUACUUGUCCUUCAUGCCUUUUCUGUACAUUUGACACUUGACAAACCCAUACUUCUUGAUACAGUCUCCUCCCUAAAUUUCUAAACACUACUCAGUCAUGAUGCUUUUCCUGCCUGUAUGACCUGUAUAUCCUGUAUGACCAAUCCUUCUUAGUCUACUUUAAAGAUCAUUAUUCAUGUCUUGUCCCCUAUGCAUGGGUGUAACUCGGGACUUGGUCCUUGGUCUUCCAUUGAACUAUCAUUUUCUAAGCAGAUGACUCCCAAAUAUAUUAAGACUUUAGCUUAUUCCUGAACUCUAGUUCCACACCUCUGAAUGCUGGUGACUCACAUGUAAGAUGUCUAAAACAAACUUCACUUUCUCUCCUCCUAAAUUGACCUCUCCUUAAUUUAUUUCUUUGGAGAGUACAGCCAUUGUUUCCAAUCAUUCAGAUUCAUAAUUUCAAAUUUUCACUUUCCCUUACCAUUCAUAUACAAUCAGUUGUCAUCAGAAAAAUAUAACUGCCAUUUUGGCAUUCCUGACAAAACCUGGAAGGGUAGACAACAAACUGUAACUGGGACUAGAAGCUGGGAGUUUUAAGGCACAUGACAACACUCCAAAAUGGGAGGUGAUAGUGAUCCCAAGAGUAUGUGAUCAACCAAUCAGAGGUGAAAUGAUGGAUCUACAUUCCCACCUUUAGCCAACAUAGCCAAUUAUGAUAUUUGGCUCCAACACAACUAUAUCAAUCCUUCACCCUUUACAACCAAACAUUCCACUUAUUUUCCCUUAAGUCCUUCAUAUCUUUGGAUAGGUAUCAUGAGGCCAUUCUCUACCAUCUUGCCAGUGACCAGCCAAGGAGAAAAAAAUCAUUUACUAAAAAGGAUGCAUGAUUAAAAAUGUCUGGGAGUCAAUCAUUGUUCUAAAGUUGGACUUGCAGGCUUGCAGGGGUCCUCAAACUUUUUAAAUAGGGGGCCAGUUCACUGUCCUUCAGACUGUUGGAGGGCCGGACUAUAGUAAAAACAUAAACUUUGUUUUGUGGGCCUUUAAAUAAAGAAACUUCAUGGCCCUGGGUGAGGGGGUUAACUGUCCUCAGCUGCCGCAUCUGGCCCGAGGGCUGUAGUUUGAGGACCCCUACAAGGAGGUUCUGCUUCCACCACCCUUUCUUUUCUACUGCUUAGUUAGCUCUAUUAAAUACUCUCUGCAGUGGUGGUUGUCAGUUCUGUUUUCUCUAUGCUAAACUACUCAGCCAGCCGUUCAAUUGUUCUCCAAUACAAUAAUUUCCAAACUUUUAUAUUAAGCAUCACAGCCAAUAAAAUAAUUUUGCAUACUCA